CCAUCCCUUACUGUAUCUCUCAACGGCUCCCUCAGUCUUCCAUGGGGACUAGCCUCAGUUAUUACAGAAGUGCUCUUCAUGCCAGGAGUACUCGAUGUACUAGAGAAAAGGUUAUCUCGGAGUCUGCCAGUUAUAUGGUAUAUAGCAUCCUUCACAUUCAUAAACUCUCCUGAAAUCUGCACCACUUGAUCAUUCUCUGCCACACACUUAGGGACCUGAUCUACUCCUAAAACUUUUAUGCCAGUACCGGUUGUCUUACGCAUUUCAGAUAUUAUCGUGCCUCCUUUUCCCAACAAACAACCAACAUGGUUUGAUGGCACCACAAGUCUUGCAGUAACAGGGCACCCCUUACCAGAGCUUGAAUCUAGGCCCUUCUCAAUACCAGCCUCCACAUACCUUGAGAAAACAAGAACAACAGUCUUUUGUGCUGCCGAGUGAUGAGACUCUGGAUUCUCUGGUGCAGUAACAGUGAUCAGCCGUUCAUCACACUCAGCUACAGUUGAUCCAAUAGUAAUAGAGGCACCUGUUUCAUUCUGGAUAGCCUUGAUAAUGGUGCCUCCCUUUCCAAUAACUCCUCCAACCCUAUCAUUGGAACAAAGAAUUCUAAAAACCACUUCCUGUUGCAAUGGUUUUGCAUUCAGUGUGGGCACUCGGUUAGAUUCCAA
rnacentral:misc_RNA from 1 species